rnacentral:rRNA from 1 species
UCCGUAGGUGAACCUGCGGAAGGAUCAUAUAACGAAAUCCAAUAACCACGCAAACAUGCCAUUUUAAGCAAGGCCUCAUAUAGUAUUUUGCUAUAUGGAGCCUUCGCAUACAAUGAUUGCUUAUAAAGGCCCUUAACUAAAACUAAAUAAUCAAGAAUAAAGUCUUAACGAUGGAUAUCUUGGUUCCCAUAACGAUGAAGAACGCAGCAAAGUGCGAUAAGCAAUGCGAAUUGCAGAAUUCCGUGAGUCAUCAGAUCUUUGAACGCAAAUUGCGCCGACUCUGUCGGCAUGCUUGUUUCAGUGUCAUUUAAAAUCUGCUCCACACCUUAAUGCGACUGAUUUACCAAUCUGUUGCUAAGUGCGAGUGGCGUAUACUAGUCACGGAGCUUUGCUCUCUCAAUGCAGCAGUCACACCUAGUGUGUCCUCGUUGAGAGUUGACUAGCAAUAUACCACAGAUUAUAAGCUCUCUUUUGCAUCUGAAAUCAAGUAAGGCCACCCGCUGAACUUAAGCAUAUCAAUAAGCGGAGGGAAGUCGGACUGGCCAAGGGGCACACCAGGGGGGGGGGAUA